AUGUUCUCUCUUUCAGAGUCCCCCUGCCUGACCUCCACGAUGUCUAGGUGGGAACAGUCUGGAUGGUCCUUGCAGCAUCUCUCUCUGGACCUCAACAGGCUGUACGCAGCAAAGGGAAGGAUAGAGAAAGGAGAAGAAAGGUCAAACAUAAAUCCCCAAACAAAUCAAAAGACAGACAAAAAGAAGAAAAACAGAAGAACAGAUCAGCCAAGUCCUGAUGAACCAUAUCAAAUACCGUCAACACAAGGAAACAGAGAAUGAAACACAUACAUUCAUUGACGGGAAGGAAGGAAGGAAAAAAGGAAAGAAGGAAGACUGACUCUGCCUAAAACAGCAUUUUUUCCUGUAGGUCUGAUCUCAAACAAAGCAUUUAAACUGUUGAUGAGGAGAAUCCAAGGACAGCAACUACAAUCAAUUCCAAACCCUUUAUGUUAGAAAGAAAAAACCCAAAACUCAGGGAGGCAAGACCCAAAGGCAGGGGCAGUAGAACUGUAAUGAAGCGCCAGACCUCCUUACCUGCAGAUGAACGUUCUUCCCGUCACACUGUGCUUCAUAAUGCUUGAUUUAAAUCUGUAGGAGACACAGUAACAUCACGGAACUCAAGAACUCAGAAUCUUCAGUUGGGAAAGCCAGCGUUUGAAAUUCAGACCAGCCACGGGGCAGGUUGUUCAACCUCUUCAAAGCCUUGCAGCUCAAAAGAAGGUUCAGAAACCAGCCAACAUUAGCAUCACCUGGAGACUUGCUAGAACUACAGACUUCCAGAACCUGCCACAAAUCAACCUAACAAUGUUCCCAGGUGAGUACGCAUAACAUUUGAGAAACACAACUUAAAACCAGUGAUUUUUAAUCUUGGAUGCUCAUCAGAAUGAUCUGGGAAGCCUUAAACGUUACUGAUGUCCUGGCCUCGCCCUCAGAAGUGAAUGAUGCUUGAUCAUCAGCUACAACCCAUUUUAAAGGGUAAUCAGGUGACUUUAAUCAUACAACUAAUAGUAAGAUACAAAGGCACCAGACGUCACUAGCAGAAUGUCUGCUCUCUCCUUCCAUAAGGCUCUUUCAACGAUUCCAGGAGACAAUGCUGAUAAAGCACAUGGUACAUAUCUAGACCAGACGAUGUACCCAAAAAUGUUCAUUUCUCUUUGUUCGACUCUUCCUUUUCUUCUCUUUCUACUGCUUCUUGUUCUUUAUAAUAUAAUGCAUAAGUUAAGCCAAGUUGCUUACCUUAGAUAUGUCCACUGUUUCUGCUUUGGUUUUUG
rnacentral:lncRNA from 1 species